UGAAUACGAGAUGCUACGGCAUCGAAGCAGUCUAUGUCAUACUUCCAAGAAAAGCUUGCACUGUCAUAAACAAAUAAUGCCUGUACCAUAACCGACACAGGUGGGUAGGUAGAGUAUACUAAGGGGCGCGAGAUAACUCUCUCUAAGGAACUCGGCAAAAUGACUCCGUAACUUCGGGAGAAGGAGUGCCUUAUUCUAUAAGGUUGCAAUAAAAAGAUCCAAGCAACUGUCUAUCAAAAACACAGGUCUCCGCUAAGUCGUAAGACGAUGUAUGGGGGCUGACGCCUGCCCAGUGCCAGAAGGUUAAAGAAGUCGGUUAGCUCACGCGAAGCUGGUAACUGAAGCCCUGGUGAACGGCGGCCGUAACGAUAACGGUCCUAAGGUAGCGAAAUUCCUUGUCGGGUAAGUUCCGACCCGCACGAAAGGCGUAAUGAUUUGGAUACUGUCUCGGAGAGGGACUCGGUGAAAUAGACUUGUCUGUGAAGAUGCGGACUACCUGCACCAGGACAGAAAGACCCUAUGAAGCUUUACUGUAACUUGAAAUUGAAGUUGGACUUUACUUGCGCAGUAUAGGUGGGAGGCGUUGAGAAUAUUCUUGCGGGAAUAUUGGAGCCAUCAGUGAGAUACCACUCUGGUAAUGUUAGAUUUCUAACUUUGCAUCAUUAUCUGGUCAAAGAACAGUUUCAGGCGGGCAGUUUGACUGGGGCGGUCGCCUCCUAAAGGGUAACGGAGGCGUACAAAGGUUUCCUCUGAACGGGUAGAAAUCGUAUCUAGAGUGUAAAGGCAUAAGGAAGCUUGACUGUGAGACCUACAAGUCGAGCAGGGACGAAAGUCGGUCUUAGUGAUCUGACGGUGCUGAGUGGAAAGGCCGUCACUCAACGGAUAAAAGUUACUCUAGGGAUAACAGGCUGAUCUCCCCCAAGAGUUCACAUCGACGGGGAGGUUUGGCACCUCGAUGUCGGCUCAUCGCAUCCUGGGGCGGUAGUACGUCCCAAGGGUUGGGCUGUUCGCCCAUGAAAGCGGUACGCGAGCUGGGUUCAGAACGUCGUGAGACAGUUCGGUCCAUAUCCGGUGUAGGCGUUAGAAUAUUGAGAGGAGCCUUCUUUAGUACGAGAGGACCGAGAAGGAUGCACCGCUGGUGUACCAGUUAUUGUGCCAGCAGUAAACGCUGGGUAGCUAUGUGUGGAGUGGAUAACCGCUGAAAGCAUCUAAGUGGGAAGCCCACCUCAAGAUAAGUAUUCCC
rnacentral:rRNA from 1 species